UUUUCAUCGAAAAAACGUGUUUUUCUUUAAACAAAUUUUAUCUAAUUAAAAUCAUUAAUUUCUCAAUCAUUAUUAAUAAGAAUUACAUGUGCAUGGAUUGCCUGUUGGAUUGAUGUUUGUUCAAGAAGAAAUUUCUCUCAAGUAAGAUAUCCACUCGAGAAAGGUUAUUGCAGCUUGCAGCAAUGUUUUAUCAAGUAUUGAACCACACUAAGGAUUAAUUCUUCAUUACAAUAUCAUUCAUAACUCCAUUUAAAUCAAUGAAAACUAAAUAUGGAUCGUUUUAUGGAGUAACAACAUACUUUGGAGUUUGGACCCAAAAUACAAUACACGUAGGUACAUUGCAGGCAUAGAUUGCAGGACACAGUGAAUGAUACGUGUUUUAUACAGUGAAUCUAAGUACCUAUUUGUUUCAGAUUAAUAUCGAACUUCGAACUUAUAAGGUGUUAAGCUGUAAUUACAAUAAAAGUGCUUGCUAUGGAAUCACCGGUGCUGCUCAUUAUUGUCAACUGUUACUUAAAAUCCAGAUGAACCAACCUUUACUUCCUAUUCAAAUAAGUUUAGAAGAAACCUUUAUAAGCAAUAAAACCAGACCAAGAAUGCUUGAUCACAAACGAUGAACUCAUUUCAUUUGCAGGUUAUGCCAUGACAUAAAUGCAUUAAAUUAGGAAGAUCUGUAUUGGAUGAAUUACCCAGAUAACUAUUAAAACAACUUCUGUUGAUAAGAACAUUUGAUUGGUGGAAUCCAGAUUCUGUGAAUGUACAUGUAAUUGAUUGACAAGUACACAUUUGACAAGGUGGUGAGAAACGUGUAGAUCUGGCCUGCUUACAGUGGCUAUUGGAUUGGACAGAACCAAAGUGAGAGUAAACGUGUGAAUUUAUGGAGAACAUUAAACUAUUUUACUAUAAGUCAUAACGCAACUUAUUUUGUAUGAGUUACAUACAAAUGUCAAGCCGUGAGUAAAAACUGA